UCUUGGGACCCUGGAAUGAGUUCUAUGUGGGCUUCCUAACAGGCACAUCCAACUCUCAGAGGCAGCCUCCCACUUGGAUACAAAGGACAGCCAGUGAUGGGACGGCCCAGAAAGCAUAAGAGCUCAUCUCUGCUGCUCAGGCCACAAAUAGCUGCAGAUGGACUGAAGGAUAAAUGAGAGACCCCAACUAUCCCAUCGGAAUCUUUUCCCAGUGAUGUUUAAAAAUAUGAACCAGGUCUGUAUUGGUGCCACCCUGGCUGGAGCAGAAGACAUACCAGAUGACCUCCAGAUAACACUCAAAGCCAGUAAGAGUGCUUCUACAAUGACCCCCAAAAGACACACUCUGUCUAAGGCACAGAAAGCUCCAGCACAAGGUGUUUGGCUUAUGGAUUUUUAAGACUUAGGAUGAUUAAAAGGAAACGAUGGAAAGAGAACAGCCUUUCCUGACCCAAUUUAAGGUGUCACGUGGAGAGCCUGUGCAGGACUCACAAGACCACUUGAGUCGGUCAGGACAGGGCCAGACGCUCAUAUGCCCCACACAGGCUCUGAAUGAGGUCAGUAAGCAGGGAUGUGUCAAAGUAAAAGGAAUGAGUCUAGCUUCUGUGCAUUAGCGAUCCUUCGGGGGCUGCUGGCCCUUGCUAUAUGUUUAUUAAUUCCUAAAAAAAUGCACUGUGGCCGGCCUAGUUUUACUUAAUGCCUAAUAAAGGGAAAAACUGUUUACAUAGCAUCCCUGGGCCUGACAACUGAGCAGGUGAACUUAGCAAGAUCCUUCACUUUCAAAGAUGACACAAUCCAGCAGCCUGGGAGGAAAAC
rnacentral:lncRNA from 1 species